ensembl:snoRNA SNORD14 Small nucleolar RNA SNORD14
UCACUAUACUAAUUAAUUUCCAGACAUUGUCAGUUUUCCACCAGAAGGUCUUUUCCUUAUGUUGGCUGGUUCUUCAUUAGCUGAGUGA